ACACGCUGGCUUCCUUAGUCGCGACAGACGUAGAACGAGUUGCUACAGAAAAGCUCCGAAAAGAAGGGUUGAGAUGAGAAGGCUACCGUUCCCAAUCUUUCCCUCCAAAAACACCCGUCAUCCCAACCGUCCGCUAUCCUAUUUUUUGUUGUUGGGUUUUUUUUUUCAGUUGAAGGGAGUUUGAUCUGAAAUGGGUUUUGUUGGAGGAGAUGAGGAAGGGAAGAAAUCGCUGGAAGAUGGCGAAACCCAGAUUCUGGCUCUCGACAGUGAUGAUGAUUCUCCGCCGCCUUCCGGUGAGAAACUCAAAGAUGGGGGUGUGCAAUUCGAUGAUACCCUUCCUCUUGAUAGCAACUCUUUAUUUGAAACCGAAUUGGUGGAAGAAGGUGCUGAUCUAGAUGGUGAAACCCAAGUUUUGGAAGAUCUGGAUUGCAUUGUGCAUGAUUUUCACGGUGAAACCCAAUUAUUAGAAGAUACGGAUUGCAUGACAGAUGAAUGUGAGAAAGAGGUUGCCGUCGACAGUGAUGCCGAAGGAACAGAGAGAACUGAGGUGUUGUUAAGUGAUGCUGAUGGGGUCUCUGAUGAUGGGACUACUUCCCUUAAAGUCAAUGGCUUUAAUGGUGACAGAGAGAUGGGAGACAGGGUGACACAAUCUGAGAAGGAGCCGUAUGUUCCUCCUCCGUGCGCAUUUGACAAAGGUGGGAAGGAUUUUGUGGUGGAUUCGGAUGCCUCAACUGAUGAAGACUGUAGUCCAGCGAGACAUCAUGUUUCUUCUGCAUCACCACACGUGAGUGCAACUGGAUCAAAUCCUGGAUCUGCACGAAAAAGCUUCACAUCAGUUCGUGCGGAGUCCUUGCGGUCUUCUGGUCUUGCUGCGGCUCUCAGUAUGACUCCCAAGGGAACUGACGUUGAACCAAAUCCCACUUUGAGUAAUAGUGGAUCAGAGCAAAAGCAAGACAAUGCUAAAGUUUCAAAUCCUGGUACUGAUGGCAUAAAAAAGGAUGAUGUUCUCAACAGCUUAAGUCACCGGACUCCUUUUAUUGGCAUUGAAAUGUCUGAACGACAUCAGGAUCAUGCGGCUGAGAACUGUCAUAGGACCAAGAAUGCAAGGGCAAGAAAACUUUUUAGUGAAAGUAUACCGGCGGGAAACGUGGAAAUCAUAAACAAGGUUGAUGACCCAACUGAAAAAUCUGACUCAUUUAAAUUGCUUGUCAGCUCAAAUGGUACUGCUGGGUUAAGCUAUGUCGGGUCACAGGAGCCAGGUGAACAGUCACAAGCCAAUGCGUUGGACAUUGUAGAUAAAUUUCUAUCCAUCAACGAUGUAGAGGUAUCUGGAGAAGUGAGGCCUGGCAAAGACCUUGGUGGGAAAUCGCCCCACAUCUCGAGUGCAAAAGGGGCUCAAAGUUUGGCUAAAAGAUCUGAUCUUAGAAGUCCGGUGGUCAAGGAAGGGAUCUUUGACUGGAUUGACAGUCAUGAGGAUGAGGGUGGGGGAGAAUUCUUCAGCAAAAGAAAGGAUGCUUUGCUUGAAAGCAAACGCCGCAUGCGGAAAUCACAUACCCAACCUCGGAAACCCAAGCAUGCUGAAUUCAAAAUAACUAGAGAUGCAGUUGAUAAAUUCGGAGAGAAAGAAGAAGGCACAAUCUCUCAAAUCGGUCGGAAAAUAAUAGGUUUAACUCAUUCAGAUUCAAGGCUAAUUUUGCACGGAGGUGAUGGAGUACAGUUUUCUAAGGCAAAAACAAAGAAGAAUCUCUUGAAGGAGCUGGAUGAACAGUCUAAUGCAGCGGUUUCAGGGCAGCCAUUGGAGAAAACUGCCAUCGAAGGAGGUUCACCUAGUUUAUAUGAUGUUGGUAUUGAUACUCAAUUGGCUGCUGAAGCAAUGGAGGCCUUAGUUUGCGGGCCAUCUGCUGAUCAUGAUCUCAUGGAUGUGCAUCCUGUGGCAAGAAACUCAACUGAACGUUCCUCCAGGAGUGCAACAAAGAACAAAGCCCGUUCAAAGCAUGUUUCUGUUAGGAAGAGGUCUUGUUCUACAUCUGAUUCAGAGGAAACUACAAGAAAACCCAAGCAAACAAAGAGCACAAAAUUUAGGAAAGGUCUUAAUCCUUUUAGGAAACACUCAAAGGACUCAAGCACUAAGAGUUCAGGGAAAGAAUCGGCAGUAAAAGCAAACUCAAACGGGGAAAAGCGGAAGCAUGAAGAAGAACACUUCACCAACCGGGAAUCUCCCAACGGUAAUGAAUGCUUGAGUGGAAAGUCUUCUAAAUCCGUCGAGAGAGGGAAGACACGAGGAAAUGUGGAUGUGACUCACAUAAAAAAGGUGGACUCAUCAGCAUCAAAUGGGCAUGCCUCGAUCGAGAAAGGACUUGUACAGGGGCAUGGGACUGUUACACCUAUUGCAAGCCGGACGAGACAAUCGAAAACAAUGAAUCAAUUGAAAAAGAACAGGAUUUCAUAUAAUCAGCUUCCAGUGGAGGAUAGUAUCCUUGGGAGCAAAAGAAAGGGGAGCAAUUUCGUGAGUUAUCCCAAAGGGAAGAGAACACGCCGUAAUAUGUCAGAUGAUUUAAACAAUGCUGCCAACUUGACUGGCCUACCCAUUGCAACUGAUGCUAUGGCAGAAGUCAAUGCAAAAUCAUCUGCACAACAGAAACAGUCAAAAACCGAUAUGGGAAAUUAUUUUGUGAGCCUAGAUACAGUGAAGAGGAAAGCAAGAUCAUCCAAUACGCCCAUGCCACCAUCCUUGCUUGGGCCAUGCAUGCCUUCUGAAACUGAUCAGAUGGGUUCCAUCACUGUCAUGAAUGAGGAAAUACCCCCUGAAAAUCUGACAUCACCCACCUCUGGUGUACUGACAUGUGCCGGUCAGAAAUAUGGUGUUGAGUCUGCUAGAACGCUUGUUGAAGAUGCAAGAGGAAAUGCCGGUUUAGAAGGAUCCCCAAAGGGAAAAGUCCAACCAUCUCAGUCAGCCUUUACUACACCUUCAAAAGAUGUGCAUGCAGUAUCACCUAUUUGUGCGGGUGAUGACCGCCAAAAGCAAUCUAGCAAGAAAGGGUUAUCAAGAUCAUCUCUUGCAAGGGAGCUUAUUAGGUUAGAUGCCUCCGAAGCAGUGCAAGCUCAUUUGAAGGAUAUGCGAAGACGAAGAGAUAUGGCUAGUGUGAGUGUUUUGUUUAGUCAUCACUUGGGUGAAGAUAUAAUUAAGCAGCAGAGAAAGAAGAUUUUGGCCCGGCUUGGAGUCUCCACUGCAUCCUCUUCUUGGGAUGCAACACACUUCAUAGCAGAUAAGUUUGUGCGUACGAGGAACAUGUUGGAAGCGGUGGCUCUCGGUAAACCUGUGGUGACACAUUUGUGGCUCGAGAGCUGCGGGCAAGCAAGCUGUUUUAUCGAUGAGAGAAAUUACAUACUGAGGGAUACCAAGAAGGAGAAGGAGAUUGGCUUCAGCAUGCCUGCUUCUUUGGCUCGUGCAUGCCACAGUCCGCUCUUACAGGAUAAAAGGGUGUUUAUCACCCCUAAUGUUAAACCUGGUAGAGAAGUUGUCACAAGCUUAGUCAAGGCAGUUCACGGCCAGUUCUUCUCAGGCAAUGGAGAGAAUAGGGAGAUCUGCAAUGAAGGAUGAUAAAAUUCCGGACAAUCUUUUGAUCCUUUCAUGCGAAGAAGAUUAUACAAUCUGUGUGCCUCUCCUUGAAAAAGAUUUGAGGGGUCUUCAUGCUGAUUUGUUCCAGUAGAGAUUGAAGCUAAGCAACUAUAUAUAUGGUUAGCACCGCAGCUAGGAAAAAUGCAUAAACAACUGGUGGUUUAUAUACAACUGAUACAAACAACAAUUAUAGGCUGGUAUUAUUGUUGUUGGUGGUCAAUGAUAUGAAAUAUUCAAGGUAUCAUAAGGUUUUAAAAAAUGCUGAUAUUAUCAAUAAUAUAGGCCAAUACAUGCUGAUAUCACGAUAUUAUCAAUAAAAUAGACCAAUACGCGCUGAUAUCAUGAUAUUAUCAAUAAUAUAGGCCAAUACACACCGAUAUCUAGGGGUGUCAACGGUGCCAGGUUAGGGCCUGGCUGAGCUCUGUCCAAGCCCAGCCUGCAUUGUCCAACGUAGACCUGGCCUGUGAUGGGCCAAAACAGUUCAGCCCGCAUGUUUUUGCUGUGCCCGAGCCCGAAACAGAGAGAGAGUUUCCAUGGAAGGGUGGGAUCUGGAGGCAGUGAUUAGAGGGUGUGGCAUCCCUAAUCCCUCCACUGCUUCAACUACAGAAGAAGAUCCCUUCUCUUUCCUUCCACCCCAUCAGCUCCUCCAGAAGGACAUUGAUGACGAGCAGCAUCUCCUCUGCUUAUCCAAAAAGCAUCAUGCAACAAGAACUGGAGGAUUCAUGAAAACCCUUCUCCUCCUCCUUUCUUCAAGCCCAGCAGGAACAAUCACCACCAACUCCAAGUCCCUCAAUCCAAAAGGAGGUCGGUUUGCUUGUUUUUACCUCCGAUUUCUCGUACCUCAGAGCAGGAAACUGAAGCAAAUCCUAAUUACAGCGGUGUUCUCCAAUUUUGUUCGGGGGCACUAAUUACAAACCAAGCUUACGGGCUUUCGGACAUCUAUGUCCAAGCCUGACCCAUUUUGAAACGGGCUUGAUUUUUAAGCCUGAGCCCAGCCCUUGGGCCCGUUACUCUGCCCAAGCCCAGCCUGAGGCAGGCCAGGCCUGGAAGUCCAAUGGGCCAACCCUGCCCAUUGACACCCCUACCAAUAUCUUGAGAUAUCGAAAAUAGCCCGAGAUAUCAGCUUUCCUCCUUUAGUAUAAAUACAUUGUAUAAUCGAUGCAUGAUACUAUCCCAUGUAUUGACGGUUGCAAACUAGCUAGUAUGAAAAUCAGAAAUUGAAAAAAUAAAAAAUAUACAAAAUCCUCAAUUUUUUGGAUUUUUUUUCUUUCUGUUUUUGAUGGAAUCUUAUCCUAGGGGGUUUUACAACAACACUUGUUUUUGACAUCAAAACACGGUUUUGGUGGGGAAAUCAUUAUUGAAGAGUGGAAUUGGGCCGGAACUCAAAGCUGAGAAAAACCUAUUUAUUUAUUUAUUUGUUUUCAUAUUAGCAUGGAUAUGGAUUCUAUUAAGAAAGUCCAUUUCUAUGCAUGAUUUUCAUGUAUUAACAUAGAUUUGAGAGGAACAAACAGAUAUUUAAAGUGCAAAUGGAGAAAAUUAGGGAAAUUCGAACUUUCUCUGUUUUUACCCUUAAAAAUUGUAAUGCAACUGUGGAAAAAGUUUAUGUUGAUUAUUGUUGUCUGGUCUACAGACUGGCCACACCCUUUUUUUCUUCUUCUUUUUUGGCUGGCAGCCCACAGUUUUGUCCCCUUGACAAUGGAAUACUAUCAUGCUUAGUUUCUUUUUCUUUCUUUUCUGUUUUUGUCCCCCCUUAAUCUUCUAAGUCCCAAUCGUGUAAUCACAUGUCUUUUAACAUCUCCCAAAGUUUCACCGGAAAUUCCACUAUUUUCCUAAUGUUCCCCUCUGAGUACGAUACGUUUCCCAGUAUUUGUGAUAUUAUUGACAACAUCAAUAUGUUUCCAUAUACCAUGGGUGUGAUACAUGUGGAGAUAACAUACAUAAAAUAUUGUUAACAACCACUUAAGCAAGCAAUCAGGUUUGGUCAACAUGCCUCAUGGGUUUGAUUUUAC